rnacentral:rRNA from 1 species
UGGUGGCGACCGGCGCACGGGUGAGUAACGCGUAUGCAACCUACCCUUUAGAGGGGAAUAACCCGGCGAAAGUCGGACUAAUACCGCAUAAAACAGGGACACCGCAUGGUGAUAUUUGUUAAAGAAAUUCGCUGAUAGAUGGGCAUGCGUUCCAUUAGGUAGUUGGUGAGGUAACGGCUCACCAAGCCGACGAUGGAUAGGGGAACUGAGAGGUUGGUCCCCCACACUGGUACUGAGACACGGACCAGACUCCUACGGGAGGCAGCAGUGAGGAAUAUUGGUCAAUGGGCGAGAGCCUGAACCAGCCAAGUCGCGUGAAGGAAGAAGGAUCUAUGGUUCGUAAACUUCUUUUGCAGGGGAAUAAAGUGCAGGACGUGUCCUGUUUUGUAUGUACCCUGAGAAUAAGGAUCGGCUAACUCCGUGCCAGCAGCCGCGGUAAUACGGAGGAUCCGAGCGUUAUCCGGAUUUAUUGGGUUUAAAGGGUGCGUAGGUGGUUUGAUAAGUCAGCGGUGAAAGUUUGCAGCUUAACUGUAAAAAUGCCGUUGAAACUGUCGGACUUGAGUGUAAAUGAGGUAGGCGGAAUGCGUGGUGUAGCGGUGAAAUGCUUAGAUAUCACGAAGAACUCCGAUUG